CCUGCCCAGAAGCGGGGGAUAACACCUGGAAACAGAUGCUAAUACCGCAUAACAACUUGGACCGCAUGGUCCGAGUUUGAAAGAUGGCUUCGGCUAUCACUUUUGGAUGGUCCCGCGGCGUAUUAGCUAGAUGGUGAGGUAACGGCUCACCAUGGCAAUGAUACGUAGCCGACCUGAGAGGGUAAUCGGCCACAUUGGGACUGAGACACGGCCCAAACUCCUACGGGAGGCAGCAGUAGGGAAUCUUCCACAAUGGACGAAAGUCUGAUGGAGCAACGCCGCGUGAGUGAAGAAGGGUUUCGGCUCGUAAAACUCUGUUGUUAAAGAAGAACAUAUCUGAGAGUAACUGUUCAGGUAUUGACGGUAUUUAACCAGAAAGCCACGGCUAACUACGUGCCAUCAGCCGCGGUAAUACGUAGGGUGGCAAGCGUUGUCCGGAUUUAUUGGGCCGUAAAGCGAGCGCAGGCGGUUUUUUAAGUCUGAUGUGGAAAGCCUUCGGGCUCAACCGAAGAAGU
rnacentral:rRNA from 1 species